UAGGGAAUAUUAGUAAUGGGCGAAAGCCUGAACUAGCAACACCGCGUGUGCGAAGAAGGCCUUCGGGUUGUAAAGCACUUUUUGAGAGGAUGAGGAAGGACGGUACUCUCAGAAUAAGUCUCGGCUAACUACGUGCCAGCAGCCGCGGUAACACGUAGGAGGCAAACGUUAUCCGGAUUUACUGGGCGUAAAGCGCGUGUAGGUGGCUUGGUAAGUAGAGCGUGAAAGCUCCUGGCUCAACUGGGAGAGGUCGUUCUAAACUGCCAGACUAGAGAAUGGGAGAGGGAGGUGGAAUUCCGGGUGUAGUGGUGAAAUGCGUAGAUAUCCGGAGGAACACCAGUGGCGAAAGCGGCCUCCUAGACCAUUUCUGACGCUAAGACGCGAAAGCUAGGGUAGCAAACG
rnacentral:rRNA from 1 species